rnacentral:tmRNA from 1 species
GGGGGUGACCUGGAUUCGACCGGAUGAUGAGAAGCGCUGACCUGCGUGUCGUGGUUGAUCAGUUGGCCACGUAAAAAGCUGAUCAAAAUUUUUUAGUUGAUAACGAAAGUUUCCAACUGGCAGCCUAAUUACAGGCAGCCCGGGUUGAUGGGGGCCACCAAAGUCGCCUGAAUACCCGUCACAAUUUUGGUUCGCUCACCGUCCUACGCGAGACGCGGUGAGUUAAAAAAGAUUCGGUGUUAGCGGAACUGGGAGCCUGUCAGGCAGCGCCCAGCGAAGCGAAAAGGUUCUCCAAGCCAGCAAUGGACUGAGUGAACUACAAAUAGUCUGACUACACAUCGUAGACGGUCACGUGGACGCAUCGCGGGACGCGGGUUCAAUUCCCGCCGCCUCCA